rnacentral:misc_RNA from 1 species
CAGCAAGAUCCGAAAAUCUUAUCUGCUGCAUCUAAUGGGGAUCCAUUUUUUUAUGAUGAUGGGGACGGAAUCACUGCGCUCAAACCAUUGGUUCGCGUUUCCGAAGGAGGUAAUCGAUGGCCAAGACAAGAGACUUUGGCACUCUUGAAAAUAAGGUCGGAUAUGGACAUGGUAUUUCGAGAUGCCAGUGUAAAGGGUCCCUUGUGGGAAGAGGUUUCCAGGAAGCUAGCAGAGUGUGGUUAUAAUCGAAGCGCCAAGAAAUGCAAAGAGAAGUUCGUGAAUGUGUACAAGUACCACAAGAGAAUCCAAGAAGGACGAGCUGUUAAAUAAGAAGACAAAAUGUAUUAAUUUUUUAAUCAAUUAGAAACGUUUGAGAGUCAUGCUUCUUCUUCACCUUCAUCACCACCACCAACGCAACUGCAACUGCAAUUGUAGCAGGUGAAGCCUCAAACUCCAGUGGUGACAACCGUAGCAAUGCCAGUGGUUAAUCCUCUGGUUCUCAAUGUUGGUGCAUCUCCUAUUGGAAUUCAUUUAGUUAUUUUUGAUGGAAUAGUUCUAAUAGGAGAUGCACCAACAUUGAGAACCA